UGUUUCGCAGAUCUUUGGGAAGGCUCCAAGCAAGGGAGUCAAUCCGGAUGAGGCUGUUGCGAUGGGAGCUGCGAUCCAGGGUGGUAUUCUCCGUGGAGAUGUGAAGGAGCUUUUGCUCCUAGAUGUUACUCCACUUUCCCUUGGAAUUGAGACCCUGGGUGGUAUAUUCACCAGACUGAUCAACAGAAACACAACAAUUCCAACAAAGAAGAGUCAGACAUUCUCCACUGCAGCCGACAACCAGACCCAGGUUGGUGUCCGUGUGCUUCAAGGCGAGCGUGAGAUGGCUGCAGACAACAAACAGCUGGGCGAAUUUGAGCUCAUGGGCAUCCCACCUGCCCCUAGAGGCAUGCCACAGAUUGAAGUCACGUUCGAUAUCGACGCCAACGGGAUUGUGACAGUUUCUGCCAAAGACAAAAACACCGGAAAGGAGCAGCAGAUAACCAUCAAAUCUUCCGGCGGUCUAUCCGA
rnacentral:misc_RNA from 1 species